AAUCGAACUCGGAGAUAGCUGGUUCUCCCCGAAAUAGCUUUAGGGCUAGCCUCGUUUUAAAUUACCGGGGGUAGAGCACUGAAUGGGCUAGGGGGCCACAAAGCUUACCGAACCCUAUCAAACUUCGAAUACCGGAUAAUUGAUGAACGGGAGUCAGACGGCGGGAGAUAAGUUUCGUCGUCAAAAGGGAAACAGCCCAGAUCUACGACUAAGGUCCCGAAAUCACAGUUAAGUGGAAAAGGAUGUGCAGUUGCACAGACAACCAGGAUGUUGGCUUAGAAGCAGCCACUCAUUUAAAGAGUGCGUAAUAGCUCACUGGUCGAGUGAUUGUGCGCCGAAAAUGUACCGGGGCUAAACUGUGUACCGAAGUCUAGGGAUCGUGAUAAACGAUCGGUAGGGGAGCAACGUGUGCGGGCUGAAGCCGAAGCGGAAGCGACGGUGGACUGCACGGGAGAGAGAAUGCCGGCAUGAGUAGCGAGAGCAAAGUGAGAAUCUUUGCCGUCGAAAGCCUAAGGUUUCCUGAGGAAGGCUCGUCCUCUCAGGGUAAGUCAGGACCUAAGCCGAGGACAAAAGUCGUAGGCGAUGGACAACUGGUUGAUAUUCCAGUACCACCUUUAGCGUUUGACUGAAGCAGUGACACAGAAGGAUAGACAGAGCGCGUGACUGGUAGAGCGCGUCCAAGCGAUGAGGGAGUUAAGUAGUGAAGCACGCUUAACAAUCCUGGGUCGUGAUGGGGACUGAAAAUAAGUAGGGAAGCUGUUGAAUUCACGCUGGCGAGAAAAGCUGCUAAGGAGCGAAAGGGUGCCUGUACCGCAAACCGACACAGGUAGGCGAGGAGAGAAUCCUAAGACGAGCGGGAGAACCCAUGUUAAGGAACUCGGCAAAAUGACCCUGUAACUUCGGGAUAAAGGGAGCCACGAGAGUGGCCGCAGAGAAUAGGCCCAAGCGACUGUUUACCAAAAACACAGGUCUGUGCGAAGUAGAGAUACGACGUAUACGGGCUGACGCCUGCCCAGUGCCGGAAGGUUAAGGGGAAGUGUUAGGGCAACCGAAGCACGGAACUUAAGCCCCGGUGAACGGCGGCCGUAACUAUAACGGUCCUAAGGUAGCGAAAUUCCUUGUCGGGUAAGUUCCGACCCGCACGAAUGGUGUAACGAUUUGGGUACUGUCUCAACAAGGGACCCGGCGAAAUUGUAGUAUGUGUGAAGAUGCACAUUACCCGCGAUAGGACGGAAAGACCCCGUAGAGCUUUACUGUAGUUUAACAUUGGAUUUCGGUAACAUAUGUACAGGAUAGGUGGGAGGCGAAGAACCAGGGACGCCAGUUUCUGGGGAGCCGACCUUGGGAUACCACUCUUGUGUUAUUGGAGUUCUAACGAAUUGCCGUGAACCGGGAUUCGGACAGUGUUAGAUGGGCAGUUUGACUGGGGCGGUCGCCUCCUAAAGAGUAACGGAGGCGUCCAAAGGUUCCCUCAGAAUGGUUGGAAACCAUUCGCAGAGUGUAAAGGCAGAAGGGAGCUUGACUGCGAGACCGACAGGUCGAGCAGGUGCGAAAGCAGGGCUUAGUGAUCCGGCGGUAUGAGAGUGGAAUUGCCGUCGCUCAACGGAUAAAAGCUACCUCGGGGAUAACAGGCUGAUCUCCCCCAAGAGUCCACAUCGACGGGGAGGUUUGGCACCUCGAUGUCGGCUCGUCGCAUCCUGGGGCUGAAGCAGGUCCCAAGGGUUUGGCUGUUCGCCAAUUAAAGCGGCACGCGAGCUGGGUUCAGAACGUCGUGAGACAGUUCGGUCCCUAUCCAUCGUGGGCGAAGGACACAUGAGAGGAGCUGCUCCUAGUACGAGAGGACCGGAGUGGACGCAUCACUGGUGCAACUGUUGUCGUGCCAACGGCACAGCAGGGAAGCGAAAUGCGGACGGGAUAAACGCUGAAGGCAUCUAAGCGUGAAGCCCACCUCAAGAAUAAGUGU
rnacentral:rRNA from 1 species